rnacentral:rRNA from 1 species
AUUGAACGCUGGCGGCAGGCCUAACACAUGCAAGUCGAGCGGUAGAGAGGUGCUUGCAUCUCUUGAGAGCGGCGGACGGGUGAGUAAUGCCUAGGAAUCUGCCUAGUGGUGGGGGAUAACGUUCGGAAACGGACGCUAAUACCGCAUACGUCCUACGGGAGAAAGCGGGGGAUCUUCGGACCUCGCGCCAUUAGAUGAGCCUAGGUCGGAUUAGCUAGUUGGUGAGGUAAUGGCUCACCAAGGCGACGAUCCGUAACUGGUCGGAGAGGAUGAUCAGUCACACUGGAACUGAGACACGGUCCAGACUCCUACGGGAGGCAGCAGUGGGGGAAUAUUGGACAAUGGCGGCAAGCCUAAUCCAGCCAUGCCGCGUGUGUG